UUGCUAUUUUUAUUUAUCAAUUAUUGCUUGCACAAUCUAUUUAUUUAGACUUUGAUUUCCUCAUCAGGUGCCGUUGCACCAAUCCAACGUAACCACUAGUGACAUUUGACUCCAGUUCACCAAUCAAUCAGCACAAGGCACUCACAUGACUGCAUACAAAGUCUUCUAUUGGGCUUCGCGGGCCUGCUAAUGUGACUGCCAACUGGUGUGAUGCGCACCUGAUGCAGAUUAGGAACCACGAAAACUGUAGAGACGCUGCCCGAUCCCAGAUCAGUUGGUGACUAAAGCUCUGUGACUGCCAUCUGUGCUCAAGACAUCAGGCAGGUGAUACAAGUACUGUUGUCGGGUAAAAAUGAGGGAAACCCUUUUUAUACAUCAGAAGGGCCAACGUGUGUCCCUGUUGUCAAAUAAUGACUCUGGCUCCUGGUCAGAUUUCAGAUUCACCAUUUUUGAUUUAUUAACUAAAACAAAUAAUACAAAAACAUGGAAGUAUGGCAAAAGCUAAAAAAACUGGAGAGCAGAGUCUAAUAGCAGGAUCAGCGCCUGGAGAAGACUGAAGAUGUCUGUAAUUUGCUCUCCUCUUUAUCACCUGUGUCCUUGGGGGUGUUAGGGUUAGGGUUAUGUUUGUGCCAGAGUCCAUCAGCUUCUUCAUUUCUUACAUAGCCUCAGGGUAUCUAGAGUUUGUAAAAAUAUUAUGCAAAUUUUCUACAGAGGGACAAUUGAGUCAGUCCUCUGUUGUAACUUCACCUGCUGGUUUGGUAAUUAAACAGAGAUUUCUGACCUAUUGAGGACUGCAGGUAAAAUUAUGGGAAUAAUGAUCCCCCGUUAUCCAAAGGACCUUUGCGACCAGUCGACUAUCAGACACGCAAAGGCCAUAUUUUAAGACAGAACUCAUGUGUUGAACUGCAAAUUUGUUCUUUGGAAUUCUAGGAAGAGAUGUAGGCUUCCCUAGUGCAGACACAACCAGUACAAACAUUCAUUUGUCCUUGUCUCAAUCAAGCUACUUAAAAAACAGAAAUGAAUGUGAGGGCUCUGUAUUCGGAAUUGAAUGUACUACAUUUAUGACUCCAGCCAAUGUAUGGAUGUACUGUAUGCGAAUGAAUGGACCAAUGAAUGUUUGUAAGGGUGUCGGGAUAUGUGACUGAACCUCUUUUUAUGACAAAAACGGAUGUUUCGGUAUGUUCAGUUGAUAGCGCUGGUUGUUAAGUGACCAAAGGGUCGACAGUUCGAAUCACGGCUCCGACUGUCCGCUGUCAAAGUGUCCUUGGGCAAGACCCUGAACCCCAAAUUGCUCCCAUGGGGCCUGGCAGUGCCUUGCAUGGCAACAGCCACCCACUGGUGUAUGAAUGUGUGUGUGAAUGGGCGAAUGUGUGAGCAUCUAUAAAGCUCUUUGAGCACCAUGAUUGUGUAGUUUGAGCGCUAUCUACUGUAAGUGCAACCCAGUUAUAAUUUUAAAAUGAUCCAAAUGUUAGUGUGGAGGCUAUGAGCUGGUAUGGAUGUGUAUUAGUGGCAGUGUUGUGUAGUUCGUCAAGAAUCCUACAUUUCUGACGCGUAUGUACGUUUAAUACCACGGCAACAAUCGAACGAUAUCCAACAUAAGAUGCUGUGUAUAUUUAAAAAAAAUCUAUUUAAUGUUACUUAACUCAAAUUUAAAGAUUAAAACUGAAGAUACGUAGUGUAUGUACAGUAUGUAACGUGUUUUCUGACGUUGCCAGGUGUUAAAGCUUACCUUCCAACUAAGUGUUCAGAACACAAACUGCUGUAUGAACUCGGUAUGUGGUGAGAUCAGCUUUGCUGAUUCGUGAAAGCUACAAUUGCUGUCCUUUCCUUGACAAAUGUUCAGUCUUUUUGCCCUGACUCCAAAUUAGUGCUGGUAAAUGGCGUCCUGAGACGGUGUCCUUCCAUUUUUUGAUGUUGGGUAUCAAAUUGAUCUAUUCAAAUACUGAAUGGACAUGAAAACAAAGUAAACAACCCUAACCUAAGUUUAGUGUACUGUCGUCAGAACCUUGAGGGACCCCUGCUGUUCCUCUAUUUCUGAAUGUGAAGACAGGAACCCUGUGGAUUUUAAGAUGUGUUUUGGGCAAUUAUUUGUCUGAAGCAGAGUUUUGAUGAUUUAGAAUGAAGGUCAUUGAAGUAAUGUUUUUUGUGUGUUUUUGCUGAUAUACAUUUUUUAUGCCUGUUAUUCAUGGAUGAGUCAUCAAUUUGUACUUGUGGGCAGCUGGAAAAGUUCCAAUGGACUUAAAAAGCAUGUAAGAACAUUACGGUUCCUUAAAAAAAGCAUGGUGCAGAAAAAGAUUGAGAUAAAGUUCUAAUUAGGCAAAUCAGACAAAGCGUAACUUUUCUAAUUGUUCCGGCGCGCCUUUUGUUUAGUGGCCGUGUGAAUUCAUGAAGUCCUUAUCUUGAUUUGCCCCCUCCUCCACCAGGAGAGAACACGUGGAGGACACGUUUCGGAAACAUGCUGUUUGUUUUUAUUUCUUCUUUUUCCUUUCACCCUAAUUUGAAACCAUAACACUAGUUUGAAAUCCUAAUUUGCAACACUAAUUUGUAAUCCUGACUUUGUCUUUAACCUCUAAUUUGAAACCAUAACUUGAAACCUUAACCGAGGUUUGAGAACUAAAUUUGACACCUUAAUCUUGGCUUCAAACACGAAAUUGAAUCCCUAUUCGUUUUUUUGUUUUUCCCCCCCCACCCCUAACCCUGGCUUUAAACCCUAAUUUGAAACCCUAAAUUGAGACCUUAACUAUGGCUUAGGACCUAAAUUUGAAACCCUAACUCAAAACCCUAUACCUGACUUGAAACACAAAGUUGAAACCCAAACUUGAACGCAUAACCCUUGGCUUAAUUCUUGUAAAAUUUCACAUUCAUUCUCAUGAAAUUAUUAUUGUAAAAUUGCAGCUUUAUUCUUUGAUCACAACUUUUGUCUCUAAAAAAAUGACUUCUUUCCCCAGUAAUAUUACAACUUUAUUCUUCUAAAAUUAAGCCUAUUCUCAUAAAUGUACGACUUUGUUCUGUAAUAAUAAUGUUUAAUUCCCCUAAAAUUACAUAUUUAUUAUUUUAAUAUUACAAAUUUUGGCUCGUAUUUUUUUUUUCAGAAAUAUCAUGUCUUUAUUCUUCUGAAAUAACUAUCAUUCUUAAAUAUGCCAAGUUUAUUCUUAGAAAAUUCUGAAAAUUAUUCUUGUAAAAUUUCAACUUUAUUCUCAUGAAAUUACAGCCUUUUGCGCCAUCAAAUUGUGAUUUAUUUUUUUUUCAAAUCUUUUGACUGUCAGUUCUUUUUAACAUGGCCUCUAUAGUAGUAGUUCAUAAAAUCUGACAUUGAGAGUAUUGUACAUUUCAUUCUUGUAUAAACUGACCAGAAUGAAUAUAGACAUUGAAUUGUCAAAAGAGAGGAAAUGUCAUAUUUCAUAGGAGGUGCGUAGGGAUGAAACAAACGCAUACAAAGACAAAAUGGACAUAGGGACAGCUUAACGGCAAGAGAACGGAAGGCGAGCGAGAGCUUUUGUGGCCUGUCAGAGUGAAGGGCGUGAAAUGAACAGAGCCCAGGGGGCCCCGCUAGAGUGUGUCCUGCAUGGGAAUGAGUGCCACUGGGUCAGCGUGGAAGCGGCUAAAAAGAAGAGAGAGACGGUCAAGGCCCAUUAAGCCGGCCGGGAUGGCGGCUCGCUCCGGGGCGGCACGGAGAGGCGGCGCGGAGAGGCAGCCCAUGUCCUCGCUGAUGGGGAAAAUGGAAAGUUUUCAGGGGCCAACUUCUCCAACACCCUCACAAAUCAAAGCCCCCGCAUGCCUGCACGUACCACAGCACCAGGCCUCUGCCAGGCUUCGCAUCCGCCCGCCCACCUCUGAUGCGCCGUGUUGCUGCAGAGCGAGUCAACCUGGCCCAGGGGCAGGAACGUCCAAACGGCCGCACGGCAGCAGACUUUUGUCUCAGGAACAGGACCGCGAGCGUAACCAUGCCCAUACAGGAGGUCAUUAAACAGUACCUGUCGGACCUCCUCCACCCAUAAACUCCAUCUGGGGUCUUCCAGCUCUGGUCUUCUCUCCUUCCCGCACACCCCCCUGCGAACCUUUGGGGCCAGGGCCUUGAGCAUGGCAGUCCUCGCUCUGGAACUCUCUCUCCUCUGAGAUCCGCAACGCUCCAUCGCAGGACAUUUUCAAGCAAAACCUCAAAACUCAUCUGUUUCACACAGGUUGUGAUGUUUAGUGUCCUUUGUUCUGUUUUUUUUUUUAUGUCCACUUGUGUAAAGCAACCUUGGGUUCUGUGAAAGUUAUUAUUAUUAUUAUUAUUAUUAUUAUUUAGCCUUUGCUAAGAACGACUAAUAUUGUCGUACUGAGAAGCCGAGUGAGGAGCUGAGCCUCCAGUAUAGCAUAUCAUUGCAUGUGUGAACAUAAAGAAAAGCAUUUUAAAAGAAAAUACGUUUAAAUGCUUUUUGAGAAUUUUGAAAAAACAUAAAAUAAAAUAAAAUUAAAUAAUUUAACAACAACAAAAACGCACAUGGAGAUAACAUAACGAAGAAAAAGAGACUUUUCCAAAUGAAUUGCGCUGACAUGAAUAAGGCAUCAUUCUGGUCUGGUUUGUCAGGAAGUAGCUUAUCUGUCUUUGAAAGCAGUCGUCCAAUCAGGUGCGACCAAGGCCAUCGUGCCUCCAGUCUCUGCUUGCUGGGCCGCCAAAGUUUUGGACUUUUAUUUGGAUCCACAUGAGUGCGAGCUCAAUAAUCCUCCAAAAUUAAUCUCUCAUUGAUUAACGACUCAGGGCUUAAAGUACCUCACUGAGUGCCAGUAAUGCGUGCAACAGCGCUCCUGAUAAUAACAAAGCAUUGAAGUUUAGUCGCCGACAGAAAAGUUCUGCUUCUUUACGGCUCGUUUGCGCCGAGAUCGAUGGCGUACGUGCAUGAUAAAUUGCGCGGGGACGGCUAUUGACGCGCUAUCAUUAAGACUUUUUUAAUUAGUCGGCUGGUAGGAAAAAAGGAUGAAGUGUAGCAGCAGGAGCAGAGGCCACCAUCACAGCUACCUAAUGACUGUGUGUCAUCUUCCAUGCAGUACAUUUGGAAAGUCUUCACAGUGCUUUUCAUCUACAAUUGUUUAUGUGAAAGCAGGGGUGGGCAAAGUAUGGCCUGCGAGCAGAGUUGUGUAGUAACAAGCUACAUUUACUCCGUGCCAUUAACUGAAGUAACCUAUUUGAUGAAUUGUACUUAUCAGCCUAGUUUUAAUGCAACAUAGUUUUUACUUUUACUCGAGUACUUUUACUCGAGUAUUUUCAUCAUUCUUUGCCGUUGUAUUGUGCUACAUUCCGCUCGCUGCUUGUACAGAAUUUUAUCUACAGGUUUUUAUUUUUGCUUGCACAAUCCGUUUUGGUCUCGCAAAGAGACUUGUGACAUGACUCUGUUUCACCAGUCCAACUGCUAGUCACGUUUGACUCCAUUUGACCAAUUAAACGGAGCCAAGCAGUCACAUGACCGCGCAGUCGCCCCACACGCGAGCAAAGUUUUCAAUGUGACAUGGCAGGAAUCUAUAUUUACCUAAUAGUUAGGCUGUAGCUCACCGAGACCCGAGUGACCAUAAAACAGUAUGAAAAAAUGGAUGGAUGGACUAUGGGAAAAAAAACAGCUAUCAUCUGUGUCUGCCUAAAAAUGCCGGCAUUUCAGCCUACAGCUCCUCUUGGAAUUUGAGAAACGUACAAGAGGCUCUCACACAUUGCAUUUGCAAAAUGUUCUGCUCUGUUGGCCCAAACCAGCAGGUCAACCAUAUCACGUGAAAGCAAAUUGCAGCUGUGCGCACUGAAGAUCGAUGUAAAUUGGCCGAACUCACUUUGUUUUUGAACAACACUGGUCAACAAGAAUUUGUAUUUAUUUAUUUAUUUUUGCUGAUGCAGGACAAUUUUGAUGUGCUGAAUCCAAAUAUCACAUUGCUUUUGCUCAAUCAGGUCAACUUUUUUUGACUAUGGUCACACUUUUGUUUACAUGUAAAUGUAUUUUUGCUUUAGAGGUUCAAAUAAACGGCUGUUCAUGCCCUGAA